GCAAAAUUAUCGUUAUUGUUUUUGAUAACGUGAUAAGAUGAAGCUUUAUAAGGCGUGCGACCUCGCUAUUGAAUGUUUCCAAGGAAUACUAUUUGAAAAUUAUGUGAAAACGGCUUUCGACGUGGAAAUUGAACAAAUGAGCGUGUGUCGAUUCUCAUGUGCUAUCUAAAUUGCAAGUUCACUUUGAGGCAACAUCUAACAACGUACAGUUGGCAUAGGCAAGUAAAAUUUGCUAUGACAACAGUACCUCGGAAACCAACUUAAUAUUUAAGGAAGAAAGAAUAAGUUACAUCUUUUUAUAUGAAGUCGCAAAAACUUCUACAUUAUAAAUAGAUUUCCACAUUUUGA